UGCAAACUGUCAAAAACCUCAGACAUUCGGUUGGAGCUUCUGGUUUUUACAGGCAACCGUCUGUCUGCUUUUGCCGCAACAGCAGCAUCAGGGUGAUGGAGCUCAGCGAAAAUAUACAGAGAAGUGGGAUUGAGAACCAUGUCCGGCUUCUCCGAGACCAUCUUGGACUCCUUCUUCUGUGUGCUCCACAGUGACACUCAGAAGAAACAGAGCUUGGCCUCGGGCACUGCUGUAGACCAACUGCAUGUCUCUACAGCCUCAAAGGAGAUGCUGUAGACCAGCGCAUCCUAACUCCCCACAGGUCUCUGCUCUCCCCAAGCUGUCAGAUCCAACUAAAGAAAUCUAUCAUUCCAUCAAAACCAUGAGGACAGUCUGAGCCAACACUGCUGCCUCACCAUCCUAAGAAGCCUGAGGCGGAAGAGGGCACUCUGAGCCCCCAGCAGGCUCCAUGGUGUCUUUAACCUGCAGGUAGGCAGCAAGCUAUUGUGUGUGAGCAGCACCCUUGGCUCUGACAAUGGGAAGAGAUUCACAGGCUGGCUCAGACUUCCCAAGGCAGAUGGUGUGUGAACAUGCACACAUACCUACACAUGCAUGUACACACACAUGAACGCACAUAGCUUACGGACUCUGGAAAGACAGCAGACCUCUAAAGGAGAGUUCAAGACAACAGAGGAACGGAACGGUUCUGAGUUUGGGUUUCCGUCUCCAACUGCAUCUAACUGUGCCGGGGAUUCAGGAACCAGGGACUGCCCUGAAGACAGCCCGAAGAGUUAUCUUAUUGAAAUAACUGAGAACUUGUGAUGGUUUGAGUGUGCCCCUUGGGAAAAGCCUGUGUUAGGUACUUGAUCCUUAGUGUAACAGCGCUGGGAGGUGGGGCCAAAAAGGAAUGAUGGGGCCAAGAGGGCUGAGACCUGGUGAACAGAAGGGUUCUUGCAGUGAGUUCCCUCACCCUCUUCCAUCCCCUACCUCAGGCCAUAGAAUAUCACACCAGAAAGGGCCUCCUCACUGCUGGCUCUGUGACCUGGAGCUCCCCAGGCUGCAGAACUAUAGGCCAUAAAUUUGCUUUCUUUAUAUAUUAUCCAGGUAUUCUGUUGGCUGAGGCAGCCUGAGAGACCACUGGCACUCUGGCAUCAGGGGAAGGGCAAACUGGUUAGUGACAAACUGAGCACAACCUUGAAUUUUCAUUUAAAACAGAGUUGCCAAUAAGUCAAGAAGAGAAAUUAUUUUUUUUUAAUUUUUUUAUAAGUUACUUAACUUUAUGUGCAUUGGUGUAAAGGUGUCAGAUCACCAAGAACAGACAUUACAGACAUUAUGAGCCACCAUGUGGGUGCUGGGAAUUGAACCUGAGUCCUCUGGAAGAACAGCCAGUGCUCUUAACCGCUGAGCCAUCUCUCCAUCCCCACCAAGAAGAGAAAUUCUUUGACACGGUUAGAGGAGCUUGGCAAACACGGGCUGUGUAUAGGAGAGGAGUGAUGGUUUUCCUACUGCAGAGACCCAAAGAUGCUCAACUACUGAACCAAAAAGCACUGGAAAGAGGAGAGAGCCAGGAUACAGGUCUACCUGGCCCCAAGUCCGCCUUGGACCAGUCCCCAGACAUCCGUGUCUUCUGUUCGUAUUGUUCCCUUUUGCGGAAUGCCGGUGCCUCAUUCCCAAGGAGUGUGCUCCACCAGACGAACGUGUUGGUCUGUUUCCACGAUGUACCACACAGCCUUCACUUUAGAGUCUGAGAUCCGACCCGUGGGAUCCCUGACUACACUAAUAGUCUCGGCACUCCCUUAUCCGGCAUUUAGCGAGCACUUACUAUUUACUGUU